GCAUUGCUGGUGUAGCGGUAACAUACGGGUGUUUUAUACUCCUGUGACCCUGGUUCGAGUCCAGGGCAGUGCU
rnacentral:tRNA from 1 species